CUCUGGUUUGGUCAGCGGCGGACGGGUGCCUAACACGUGGGCAACCUGCCCGCAAGACCGGGAUAACUCCGGGAAACCGGAGCUAAUACCGGAUAACACCGAAGACCGCAUGGUCUUUGGUUGAAAGGCGGCCUUUGGCUGUCACUUGCGGAUGGGCCCGCGGCGCAUUAGCUAGUUGGUGAGGUAACGGCUCACCAAGGCGACGAUGCGUAGCCGGCCUGAGAGGGUGACCGGCCACACUGGGACUGAAACACGGCCCAAACUCCUACGGGAGGCAGCAGUAGGGAAUCUUCCGCAAUGGGCGAAAGCCUGACGGAGCGACGCCGCGUGAGCGAAGAAGGCCUUCGGGUCGUAAAGCUCUGUUGUGAGGGACGAAGGAGCGCCGUUCGAAGAGGGCGGCGCGGUGACGGUACCUCACGAGGAAGCCCCGGCUAACUACGUGCCAGCAGCCGCGGUAAUACGUAGGGGGCGAGCGUUGUCCGGAAUUAUUGGGCGUAAAGCGCGCGCAGGCGGUUCCUUAAGUCUGAUGUGAAAGCCCACGGCUCAACCGUGGAGGGUCAUUGGAAACUGGGGGACUUGAGUGCAGGAGAGGAGAGCGGAAUUCCACGUGUAGCGGUGAAAUGCGUAGAGAUGUGGAGGAACACCAGUGGCGAAAGCGGCUCUCUGGCCUGCAACUGACGCUGAGGCGCGAAAGCGUGGGGGAGCAAACAGGAUUAGAUACCCUGGUAGUCCACGCCGUACACGAUGAGUGCUAGUGUUAGAGGGGUCACACCCUUUAGUGCUGCAGCUACGCGAUAGCACUCGCCUGGGGGAGUACGGCCGCAAGGCUGAACUCAAGGAAUUGACUGGGGCCGCACAGCCGGUGGAGCAUGUGCGUUANUCGAGCACGCGAGACCUAAC
rnacentral:rRNA from 1 species